UACGCGGUGCCUUUUGAGCAUCUUGUCCACGCUCCGCCCCGGUGGGAACGGCCGCGCGCUCCCCGCAGGUGGUCAUCCGCCGCCUGCCUCCGGGCCUCACCAAGGAGCAGCUGGAGGAGCAGCUGCGCCCGCUGCCAGCACACGACUACUUCGAGUUCUUCGCCGCCGACCUGAGUCUUUAUCCUCAUCUCUACUCAAGAGCAUACAUUAAUUUUAGGAAUCCUGAUGACAUCCUUCUUUUUAGAGAUCGUUUUGAUGGAUAUAUCUUCCUUGACAGCAAAGUAGAAUUUCAGAAUGGCUUCUGGAACAUGUUUCCUGUUAAAAGGCCUAGAAUAUCCUGCAGUGGUAGAGUUUGCUCCAUUCCAGAAGAUAGCCAAAAAGAAGCUGAGAAAAAAAGAUGCCAAGACUGGAAGCAUCGAAGAUGAUCCAGAAUAUAAGAAGUUUUUAGAAACCUACUGGGUGGAGGAAGAGAAGACCAGUGCCAACCCUGAGACUCUGCUGGGGGAGAUGGAGGCGAAGACAAGAGAGCUCAUUGCUAGAAGAACCACACCUCUUUUGGAAUAUAUUAAAAAUAGAAAAUUAGAAAAGCAGAGAAUUCGAGAAGAGAAGCGAGAAGAACGGAGGAGGAGAGAGUUAGAAAAGAAACGUUUGCGGGAAGAGGAAAAAAGAAGAAGAAAAGAAGAAAGAUGCAGGAAAAAAGAGACAGAUAAACAGAAGAAAAUUGCAGAGAAAGAAGUGAGGAUUAAGCUUCUUAAGAAACCAGAAAAGGGAGAGGAACCAAUCACAGAGAAACCAAAGGAAAGAGGAGAGGAGAUUGAUACUGGAGGUGGCAAGCAGGAAUCCUGUGCCCCCGGUGCAGUCGUAAAAGCCAGGCCCGUGGAAGGCUCGCUGGAGGAGCCCCAGGAGACGUCACACAGCGGCAGUGAUAAAGAGC
rnacentral:sRNA from 1 species